rnacentral:lncRNA from 1 species
ACCUGUUUAACCCUGAAUAAUUAUUAUACAAAUCCUCAUAACAAUGUGAUAUAAUUUCUAAUAGUGCAGAGACUACAGCCAAUAGAAGGAACCCAGCUGGGACAUUUAGGUGUAUUUACUCCCCUACAUUAACUCUGUUUACAAUACUUAGGGAAGUUGACAUGUCUUUACUAGAGAGAGAAGAAAAAUUGUUCUUUAAUGAGAACCCCCAGAUAUGCUAUGGUUCUCUUCAACAUAUUGUUUUUGUUUAGUUUAGUUAUUAUUUUUUAUCAGAUAAACCUAUUUUAUAAUGAUGUUUGUGAUUGUUUUGAUGUCCUAUACAACAUUUACUUCAUCAAGCAAGUUGCAAAUUGACCUUCCACUAGAUGAAAACAUCAGAUGUUCAGCUUAUAAGAAAGAACAUUCCAGGAUCCUCAGAAUGGGAAAGUGGAAGAUGGAAAGAGAAAACCAUAUGAAAAAAAGACACAAAUUUCUAAAAAAGCAUCCUGUCUUUGAAGAGUGGCAAAUACUAUUCUGUUUUUGAGUACAGAAAUAGAUCCAACUUGGAAUUAUAAAACAGAAUGUGCCUCAUCACUUGGACUUAACCAUAUGACUGGCUUUGACCAAUAAAAUAUAAGUGGAAAUUCUACUAUGCUACCUCCAAGAAAAGUCUUAAAGAAGUCUGGAAAAUUUCCACAUCUCUCUAUACAUGUCCUCUGUCCCCAAUCAGAAGAAAACAUACUAGGAAGUUGUUAAUUCUUUAGCUCAGAUCCUGGAAUGAAGACACCUGGAGUAUACUUGAAAGUCUGAAGUCCAGCUGACCCCCAGCUCAAAUUAGUGAAAGUACAGUCCACCAGCCAACCUGUGAGCAGUAAAUAAAUAUUUGUUUUAAGUUACUAUAUUCAGAAUAAUUGUACCAAAUUUAUCUCAAGUUAUCAGUUCUCCAGGGAUAGUAUGACAGCUACUUGUUGAGACCUUGGACACUUUUAUCUUUUAGGCACAAUAUAUUUAACUGACUUUCAUCUUCAAGCAAAGAGUUGUUCUCCAAAUGGCAAUUGGAAUUUGCAGGUAACAUUUCUAAUAUAUAUUUUGCCAAACUUACCUACAAUAGAGCCAUAAAACUAUAAUCU